GCGUCUGUAGCCUAGUUGGUAAAGGCAGCACUCUAGUAUGUGUCUCAGCAUAGCUGAGGUCGUGAGUUCGACUCUCACCAGAUCA
rnacentral:tRNA from 1 species